AACCUAGCACACCUGCGGUGUGUACCUGCGGAGGGAUCAUUACAUGAUUUAACAGGGAGUGGAGGCUUCGGCCAAAGCUCUGUCUGAACCCAUGUCUUUUGCGUACUUCUUGUUUCCUCGGUGGGCUUGCCCACCGAUAGGACAACCUUAAACUCUUUGCAAUUGCAAUCAGCGUCUGAAAAACUAUAAUAGUUACAACUUUUAACAACGGAUCU
rnacentral:misc_RNA from 1 species